AUUGAACGCUGGCGGCAUGCCUUACACAUGCAAGUCGAACGGCAGCACGGGGCAACCUGGUGGCGAGUGGCGAACGGGUGAGUAAUGCAUCGGAACGUACCUUUCAGUGGGGGAUAACGUAGCGAAAGUUACGCUAAUACCGCAUAUUCUGUGAGCAGGAAAGCAGGGGAUCGCAAGACCUUGCGCUGAUUGAGCGGCCGAUGUCAGAUUAGCUAGUUGGUGAGGUAAAGGCUCACCAAGGCGACGAUCUGUAGCGGGUCUGAGAGGAUGAUCCGCCACACUGGAACUGAGACACUGUCCAGACUCCUACGGGAGGCAGCAGUUGGGAAUUUUGGACAAUGGGGGCAACCCUGAUCCAGCCAUGCCGCGUGAGUGAAGAAGGCCUUCGGGUUGUAAAGCUCUUUCGGCCGGGAAGAAAUCGCACGGGCUAAUACCCUGUGUGGAUGACGGUACCGGAAUAAGAAGCACCGGCUAACUACGUGCCAGCAGCCGCCGUAACAC
rnacentral:rRNA from 1 species